rnacentral:lncRNA from 1 species
UUAAUAUUAUAUAUUACAUUUAAUUUUUAUUUAAAACUUGAUUAUUUUUCACUUAAUUAACUAAUUGAUAUAUAUAUUUUAAUUUUUUUAUAUAAGAAAAAAUGACGGUAAUUACUCAAAUUUUACACAACAGUAAAAAUCAGAAUUCGACCCUUAAUAUAACCGUCCAACCUAACAAUAUUGACAUUCUUAAUUAAACUAGGAUAAAC